rnacentral:lncRNA from 1 species
CUUUUCAACACCCUGAGACUCAGUGUUACUACAGAAUCCUUGCCUAGGGAGAAUGUGAAAAUGAUACCUCCUGCCAAGCACUUCCAAAGCUAUUCACAUAUUCAAAAGCAAAUGAAGACACCACAGCUAAUCUCUGGGAGACAUCCUGUGCAGCUUGGUGAUGCCCAACAAAUGUAUCAAUUUGGUUGAAACAGAACCACGCAGGUUAUCUUCCUGUAAACAUGCUGAGCAGCCUCUUCCCUGCUUUUCCUUUGUAGUAGACAUUGGUGCUGAUCCCAUGGAAAAUGUCAAGCACACGUUCCAGUCAAUAUGAGCUUUUUUCUGAACACAAAUACAAACACGCUUACUG